GCAGCCGCGGUAAUACGGAGGAUCCAAGCGUUAUCCGGAUUUAUUGGGUUUAAAGGGUGCGUAGGCGGUUUAGUAAGUCAGUGGUGAAAUCUCGGGGCUUAACCUCGAAAUUGCCAUUGAUACUGUUAGACUAGAGAGUAGUUGCGGUAGGCGGAAUGUAUGGUGUAGCGGUGAAAUGCUUAGAGAUCAUACAGAACACCGAUUGCGAAGGCAGCUUACCAAACUAUAUCUGACGUUGAGGCACGAAAGCGUGGGGAGCAAACAGGAUUAGAUACCCC
rnacentral:rRNA from 1 species